ensembl:snRNA U4 U4 spliceosomal RNA
AGCUUUGUGCAGUGGCAGUAUCAUAGCAAAUGAGGUUUAUUUGAGGCGCGUACUGCUAAUUGAAAACUUUUCCCGAUACUCCGCCAUGACAACUUGAAAUACAGUUGGCAUUGGCAAUUUUUGGCAAUCUCUAUGGGGA